CCUACGGGAGGCAGCAGUGAGGAAUCUUGGUCAAUGGGCGUAAGCCUGAACCAGCCAAGUCGCGUGAGGGAUGAAGGUUCUAUGGAUCGUAAACCUCUUUUAUAAGGGAAUAAAGUGUGGGACGUGUCCUAUUUUGUAUGUACCUUAUGAAUACGGAUCGGCUAACUCCGUGCCAGCAGCCGCGGUAAUACGGAGGAUCCGAGCGUUACCCGGAUUUAUUGGGUUUAAUGGGUGCGUAGGCGGCCUUUUAAGUCAGCGGUGAAAGUCUGUGGCUCAACCAUAGAAUGGCAGUUGAAACUGGGGGGCUUGAGUAUGUUUGAGGCAGGCGGAAUGCGGGGUGUAGCGGUGAAAUGCUUAGAUAUCACGCAGAACCCCGAUUGCGAAGGCAGCCUGACAAGCCAUGACUGACGCUGAUGCACGAAAGCGUGGGGAUCAAACAGGAUUAGAUACCCGUGUAGUC
rnacentral:rRNA from 1 species